CCCUUGGAGUGUUGGAUCAAACGAAAGUAGCCUAACUAGGCAAAAUCGGACACGUAGAAUAGGGAA
rnacentral:sRNA from 1 species